AUUUCAUCCUGUUCUGAGUUUGCCAGGGAAAGCUUGAGUUUAAGAAAAAGCCUCUGCAAGGAGAAGACUGAAUUAAGAGAAAGUCCACUGGGCCCUGCCAUUCAUUCUGAUGAAAGAUAGCCAUAGAGGCCUCUCUUUACCCCAAGCAGGGCAUACAAUGGCCACUCUUCGGUUCAGCUUCCCAGCACAUGAACCCCACUUUCUCAGCAUGCUGAGGGUAGUCAGGCUCUGGCAGAUAGACCUGCACUGGCUAAACGCCUGGACACUUAGAAAUAAACCCAAAGGCCAAUUUAUUGCUUUCUACAGAAAGGUGGCCUGGUAAGCUACCAGUAACUGGUCCCUGGCUCUGAAUACUCCUUCCUCAUGAUUGAGUCCACUUAGGAGAACAAGUCAUGGGUUAGCAGGUGGCUCAGUGAAGACGAGAAAAAGCGGCCAAGUCCAGUGUUUCCAAACUCUUAACUUUAAUUGUGGAACUGUUUGUUCUAUUCACAACUUACCCUGAAACGGCAGAUAUUUUGCCUGCCUGCCUCUACUUCCGCUCCCAUACCUGUGCUAGACUUUGACCUCAAGCACUUCUUCCUGCUGGGUCCAAACCUAGUCUUAGAAUCCUCCUCAAGGAGUGGGUGAGAAGGGAAAUGGGAAUUCAGAGACUUCCUGGAGAAGGGACACCUGAGCAGGGUCUGAGAGCACUAGCUACUUGGCCCAUGGAUUCCGGGCUGUGGUAACAGCAUGCACAGAACUGAAGGGGAAAGAGAGCCCUAAAGAGCUGGAGUAUUGGUGCUUGCAGGAUGGUGAGCAAGGCGGCAGCCAGAUGGUUUAAUCACAGAACAUAACGUCUCCAGGACCUGGUCUGCAGGCUCCAGAUGGGUGUGCAGUGCAGAUGCUUCUCCUAUGUUCCCCCAGGCUUCCAUGGGACAGGAAGGGAUUGUCACGGUCAUUGUGUUUCCUGCUGCAUAAAACUGGCUGGAAAUGAAGAUUCCUUCAUUCCCUGUGUCACUCUGGAGAUUGUGCCUCUGGACGCAAUGGACCAGAACUCAGGACACACCCAGUCCCUUCCCAGCAUGACCUUCCUUGGGAUGUGCCAUGUGGCGUGCAGACAUCACAUGGCAGCACCUGUGUGUGGGAGGAGAGCAUUCAUGCUCAUGUCUAGACACUAGCCAGAUGACGACACGAGCCUGCUCUUGGUCUCCUCGUUGGCCAGCUGAGGAUGCGGAGGAAAAGACAAUGACAAGAAUGUUACAGAACCUGUGGGUUCCCUUAACAGCCUUGACCUUGAAGACUCUCUGCUGCUUAUGUUUUCACUGGUUUUAUUUUUGCUUGUUUAUAUUCCCAGCUUGUCUUGGAAAUUCUCUUUCACAGCAUAUUUCGCCCAUUUUGAUUUUCAAAACCAUAUUUAGCAAUUAUAUUUCACACUUCAUCAGAUAGAAAUGGUUCCACUGAACUUCAUUCAAACCACCAACCCUCUCAGGUCCAAGUAAUGCAACUCCACUUGGAAUUCUGUCUACUGCCAUGGGCAGGGAUGGGAAUCUUUGUGUCGUUUCUGCAUUGUUAUUUGGAUAAAAAUGACACACCUCCAAAGCUUAAGUCUGGCAUCAAUUUGAAAGUUAACCCAACACCAACUUUUAUUUGUGAAACAUUUGAUUUUACCUUUCUAGAAUCCAUUCACCAAAUGGACUUCCUGAGGGUUUAAAAUUGGCACCUUUCUUUUCUUUCAUAUUGUCCAGUCAGCGCUUUUAAAAUAGAAAAGCGGGAAGUACCAGUAGAAAAAAGAUUAGGGCCCUCACUUUAAAUAAACGACACAGCUUUAUUACUUCCCAUGGUUGUCUUCGUAAUAACCUUGAGAGACCAAAAGCUUUUAGAGAUUCACAUUGUGCAUGCCAUAUAUCAUCCUCAAGGCCAUUUUGGCCUCUCAGAUGAUUGCAGAAAGAUGAGUGUAUUGAUCAAUCUCAUCCCUAUUUUCAAAUCUGUCUAAAUGAAAAUGAGAAACUGCAUCCUUUUAGUUAGGAGAUUUAUGGUGAUAUUUCUAUUCAGCCCAAGCACGAGUAACA
rnacentral:lncRNA from 10 species